rnacentral:rRNA from 1 species
CCUACGGGCGGCAGCAGUGGGGAAUAUUGCACAAUGGGGGAAACCCUGAUGCAGCGACGCCGCGUGAGUGAGGAAGUAUUUCGGUAUGUAAAGCUCUAUCAGCAGGGAAGAACAUGACGGUACCUGACUAAGAAGCCCCGGCUAACUACGUACCAGCAGCCGCGGGAAUACGUCGGGGGCAAGCGUUAUCCGGAUUUAAUGGGUGUAAAGUGAGCGUAGACGGGUAAUCAAGGCAGAUGUGAAAACCCAGUGCUCAACCUUGGGACUGCUUUUGAAACUGAGUAGCUAGAGUGCAGGAGAGGUAAGCGGAAUUCCAAGUGUAGCGGUGAAAGGCGUAGAUAUAAGGAGGAACACCAGUGGCGAAGGCGGCUUACUGGACUGUAACUGACGUUGAGGCUCGAAAGCGUGGGGAGCAAACAGGAUUAGAUACCCGAGUAGUC